AACGAACGUUGAUGGCGUGCCUCAUACAUGCAAGUCGAGCGCCCCGCAAGGGGAGCGGCGAACGGGUGAGUAACACGUAAAGAAUCUGCCCUGAAGCGGGGAAUAACUAUCCCAACGGAUAGCUAAUACCGCAUAACGAUGGAGGUGGCAUCACCUCUUCUCAAAAGGCUUCGGCCACUUCAGGAUGACUUUGCGUCCCAUUAGCUUGUUGGCGGUGUAACGGACCACCAAGGCGACGAUGGGUAUCCGGCCUGAGAGGGUGUACGGACACAUUGGGACUGAGAUACGGCCCAGACUCCUACGGGAGGCAGCAGUAGGGAAUUUUGCGCAAUGGAGGAAACUCUGACGCAGCAACGCCAUGUGUGGGAUGAAGCAUUUCGGUGUGUAAACCACUGUCAGCAGGGAAUAAAUGGUCUCUUCGGAGGCAGUUGAAUGUACCUGCAAAGGAAGCCCCGGCUAACUUCGUGCCAGCCGCCGCCGUAAAAC
rnacentral:rRNA from 1 species